CCUAACCGGGGCCCUAACCGUCCAAGUCGAACGGUAGCACAGGAGAGCUUGCUCUCGGGUGACGAGUGGCGGAGGGUGAGUAAUGUCUGGGAAACUGCCUGAUGGAGGGGGAUAACUACUGGAAACGGUAGCUAAUACCGCAUAACGUCGCAAGACCAAAGAGGGGGACCUUCGGGCCUCUUGCCAUCAGAUGUGCCCAGAUGGGAUUAGCUAGUAGGUGGGGUAACGGCUCACCUAGGCGACGAUCCCUAGCUGGUCUGAGAGGAUGACCAGCCACACUGGAACUGAGACACGGUCCAGACUCCUACGGGAGGCAGCAGUGGGGAAUAUUGCACAAUGGGCGCAAGCCUGAUGCAGCCAUGCCGCGUGUAUGAAGAAGGCCUUCGGGUUGUAAAGUACUUUCAGCGGGGAGGAAGGCGUUGAGGUUAAUAACCUUGUCGAUUGACGUUACCCGCAGAAGAAGCACCGGCUAACUCCGUGCCAGCAGCCGCGGUAAUACGGAGGGUGCAAGCGUUAAUCGGAAUUACUGGGCGUAAAGCGCACGCAGGCGGUCUGUCAAGUCGGAUGUGAAAUCCCCGGGCUCAACCUGGGAACUGCAUUCGAAACUGGCAGGCUAGAGUCUUGUAGAGGGGGGUAGAAUUCCAGGUGUAGCGGUGAAAUGCGUAGAGAUCUGGGAGGAAUACCCGGUGGCGAAGGCGGCCCCUGGACAAAGACUGACGCUCAUGGUGCGAAAGCGUGGGGGGAGCAAACAGGAUUAGAUACUCUUGUUGAGUAUCUCAAAU
rnacentral:rRNA from 1 species